rnacentral:misc_RNA from 1 species
GCUGAAGUCCCUAGCUUACCAAAAUAGCUUGAUCCAAACGCAAAAAGGACAUGGAAAUGGUUUUACACAACGCAAGAAACCAAGGGAUCAAUGUUUUCUUGCAUACACUUGCCUGGAUGCUUGCAAAAGAAACCCUUAAACUCCUAAAUUAGUCAAGUUAUAGGACAUGCUUCCACAGAUGGCAACCUAACCGCCAAACCACCAUUCACAAGCACUACAAGAAAGAAUCAAUCAAGGGUCAACAACUUCGUAUUUUUUUCAAUAAAUUGGAACAAACAAAUUGGAAUAAACAUUUAAUUGGGGUGUUUGAAGCUCGAGUUGUCAUGAAGUUCCACUAAAACCUUGGCUGUUUCUCUUCAUCUUUCCCAUUUCCAUUUCUCGCGUGUUCUGGCCUUCACUGCUUGAGCCAGAUGGAUACAAACCAUAUUCACUGGUUGGUCCACUGUAUUCACUACUGGCACCAUACUCUUGGCUUCCCAAUGCCAUCUUCCUGAAUUUUUUAAUGUCCUCAUUGUAUUGGUUGGUGUCGUAGUCUGAACUACCAUAGCUGUAGACACUGCUGUGACCAGGUCUAAUUCCUUCAUUAAGAUCAGAGAGAGCACCGUCUCCUUCAAGAGCUCGGACUACCUGACUCAUGCGUGGACGACGCCGUGCUGAAUGACGCACACAAGCAGCAGCACAAGCAACCAUACGAGCCAUCUCGUUGUGAUCAUAACUAUUUUGCAGUUUUGGAUCCACCAGAUUAUCAAAGUUGCCAUCUUCUAGAGCUCGUGUGAGUAAAGGCCUCGCCCAGUCUACCAAACUAUCCUCCAUGAAAGACUGAGCUGAAUCAACAGGCCUACGUCCAGUAAUCAACUCCAGAACCAUGACCCCAAAGGAGAACACAUCAGAUUUAUCUGUUAGUUUCCCACUUGAUGCAUACUCAGGAGCCAGAUACCCAAAGGUUCCCAUCACCCGGGUGGAGACAUGCGUAUUAGCAUCAGAAGAGAACUUUGCUAGUCCAAAAUCUGCAACCUUUGCCUCAAAUUUGUAAUCCAAAAGUAUAUUAGCUGCCUUGAUAUCACGAUGAAUGAUCUUAGGGUGGCAAUCUUCAUGAAGAUAUGCAAGUCCUUUUGCAGAUCCCAAAGCAAUUUUGAGUCUAGUAGGCCAAUCCAUUGUAGGUCGACCCUUUCCAUGUAAGUGAAACUCCAAAGUGUUGUUUGGAACAAACUCAUAAACAAGCAGUCUCUGAGACCCUGUAAUGCAAUAUCCAACCAAUGAAACAAGAUGUUUGUGAUGCACCCGACUAAUAAUUUCUAUUUCUGCCUGAAAUUCACGCUCUCCUUGCCCACUUCCAGCUUUUAGCUGCUUAACAGCCACUUCUUUCCCAUUAGGAAGGACUCCUCUGUGGACAUACCCAAAACCACCUUGACCAAGGAGGUUAGCAUUUGAGAAGCCAUCUGUUGCCCUCGCUAAUUCCUCAUAGGUGAAUGUGCUCUUUGAGAAACUCAAAGCCAUGCCUGGAGAGGGUGGUGGGAGAGGAUUUUCAGACCCAGAAUAAUUGGAGCCAGAGCCACCACUGCUGCUCAUGAAAGGCGGUGGAGGUGGCGGUGGAGGCAUUGAAACACGUUCAGGAGGAUGAGGGGGCCUUGAUGCAACUGGUGGUGGAGGAUUAGGCUUUGACAUUGAUGUGAAAACUCGAUCCGGUGGUUGGGGAGCAUUGUGCUGCCAAUGCUGCUGUUGGCCAGCAUAAGGACCAUCUUUAGGCCCAGGUGGAGGUGGAGGUGGAGGAACAUAGUAAGUAGCCUCAUCAUCAUCUCUCCUCCUCUUCUUCCUGCAACAAAGACACAACAAACUCAAAACUACCAGAAUUGCCACUCCUCCAAUAGCUAUCCCCACAACCAGCCCCGUCGAUAUCCCCGAGGAACUUGAUGGGGGCGCAUUAGCAGAGGACGGUGGCGGAGGACUCCUAGUCGCAGGCGUCGACGGGGUCCCAGAACUCGCAGGAGGAGACGGCGUGUUCGAAGGCGGAGAGGGAGUUGAUGACGAAGGCGGGGCAGGGGUAGAAGGGGUUGGUGGAGAGAGUGAAGGAGGCGGAGGAGAAGAGGAUGAGGUUGGUGGUGGUGAGGAAGCAGGAGGGGAUGGAGUGGAAGGUGGUGGAACUGAUGGGGCAGCUGGUGGGGGAGUUGCUGGAGUAGAUGGAGGUGGAGCAGCAGGAGUGGAGGGUGGAGGGGCAGAAGGGGUGGCUGGUGGAGGAGCGGUGGUAUUGGCAGACGGAGGAGGAGGCGCAGUGGUGUUAGCAGACGGCGGAGACGUGGGAGCAGGAGCUGACAUUGUGACGGAACGUCGGAACUACAAGAUUUAAUCUUAAAUUUUUGGUAUGUUAUAACAGAGAGAAUUUAGAGAGAGAGAGUUUCAGAGCGUGU